AUUGAACGCUGGCGGCAGGCCUAACACAUGCAAGUCGAACGGUAACAGGAAGAAGCUUGCUUCUUUGCUGACGCGUGGCGGACGGGUGAGUAAUGUCUGGGAAACUGCCUGAUGGCGGGGGAUAACUACUGGAAACGGUAGCUAAUACCGCAUAACGUCGCAAGACCAAAGAGGGGGACCUUCGGGCCUCUUGCCAUCGGAUGUGCCCAGAUGGGAUUAGCUAGUAGGUGGGGUAACGGCUCACCCAGGCGACGAGCCCUAGCUGGUCUGAGAGGAUGACCAGCCACACUGGAACUGAGACACGGUCCAGACUCCUACGGGAGGCAGCAGUGGGGAAUAUUGCACAAUGGGCGCAAGCCUGAUGCAGCCAUGCCGCGUGUAUGAAGAAGGCCUUCGGGUUGUAAAGUACUUUCGGCGGGGAGGAAGGGAAUAAAGUUAAUACCUUGGCUCAUUGACGUUACCCGCAGAAGAAGCACCGGCUAACUCCGUG
rnacentral:rRNA from 1 species